rnacentral:rRNA from 1 species
GAUGAACGCUGGCGGCGUGCCUAAUACAUGCAAGUCGAGCGAACAGAUGAGGAGCUUGCUCCUCUGACGUUAGCGGCGGACGGGUGAGUAACACGUGGAUAACCUACCUAUAAGACUGGGAUAACUUCGGGAAACCGGAGCUAAUACCGGAUAAUAUAUUGAACCGCAUGGUUCAAUAGUGAAAGACGGUUUUGCUGUCACUUAUAGAUGGAUCCGCGCCGCAUUAGCUAGUUGGUAAGGUAACGGCUUACCAAGGCAACGAUGCGUAGCCGACCUGAGAGGGGGAAGGGCCACACGGGAACUGAGAACCGGUCCAGACCCCUAGGGGAGGCAGCAGGAGGGAAUCUUCCGCAAUGGGGGAAAGCCUGACGGAGAAACGCCGCGUGAGUGAUGAAGGGCUUCGGAUCGUAAAACUCUGUUAUUAGGGAAGAAAAAAUUUGAAAGUAACUAUGCACGUUUUGACGGUACCUAAACAGAAAGCCACGGCUAACUACGU